rnacentral:rRNA from 1 species
CCUGGCUCAGAACGAACGCUGGCGGCAGGCUUAACACAUGCAAGUCGAGCGCCCYGCAAGGGGAGCGGCAGACGGGUGAGUAACGCGUGGGAAUCUACCCUUUUCUACGGAAUAACGCAGGGAAACUUGUGCUAAUACCGUAUAAGCCCUUCGGGGGAAAGAUUUAUCGGGAAAGGAUGAGCCCGCGUUGGAUUAGCUAGUUGGUGGGGUAAAGGCCUACCAAGGCGACGAUCCAUAGCUGGUCUGAGAGGAUGAUCAGCCACAUUGGGACUGAGACACGGCCCAAACUCCUACGGGAGGCAGCAGUGGGGAAUAUUGGACAAUGGGCGCAAGCCUGAUCCAGCCAUGCCGCGUGAGUGAUGAAGGCCCUAGGGUUGUAAAGCUCU